GGAGGCGCAGGCCGCCGUCACCAGGGCCCAGGAGGGGGGAGCCCCUAGUGACAGAGGAAAUGGAGUCUGUCGCUGUGCCCGCCCGCAGGGCCACCAUUCUGACGGCCUAAUGGAGUCCGAGGAUAGCCCAACAAAGCCCCGGGUCCUGCACUGAAGGAGGUGCUGCUGCUUUGCGUUCCCGCGGCCUCCACGUGCGGCCCGGUCCAGCCAUGCACCCGCCCCAUCAGGGCGCCGCUUGGGCCAGGACAGGGGGCUGGGGGCGGCGUGACCCGGUGCUGCAGCGCGACGUGGGGGUAUCCACUCUGCUCCCCACCUCAGUGUAAAAGCAGGGAGCUGCCAGCCACGUGUGGCUCUCAGGAGCUCCCCUCACCCCUGCCUUGGGAAAGGCUCCCAGUGCCCAUGUAGGGCUUUCUUGUUAACUUCCUGGUUCUUUCCUUUAGGCAGUGAACGUGUAUGGCUGAUCUUUACGGUAAAGUGGUACAUGCCGCCUCCUCCAAGCCCUGUCCAUCACCCCUUUGCUGGAUCAGGGUGUCAGGCCUGAGACAGUUUGGAGGACUUUCCUUUCUCAGGCCUUGCUGCAACUGUGCCUGGUGGAAGCCCGUGACAGAACAGAGACCGCAGAGCGCUGCUUUCCUGGCCUCAGUCUUCUCAUCCACCAAAAUGGGAAGGAAAUCAUUGCAAACCUCUCGACCCACAAGGCUCGCCCCUGGAAACGUGCACA